ensembl:lncRNA
UUUUUCACAUUUUAUUAAAUCAGACUUUUAUAGUAGUUGUUGAAAGCAAAAAACACUGAAUUAUAUUUAGAUAAUAGUUCCAUAAAUAAUGUGUGUUUUCACAGCAGUCACAAAGUCUGGAAUUUGUGUGCUAAUUACAGACCCCAAAUCAUCUCUGCACAGAUUUGCAAUUAAAACUGAAAUAUUUUCAUAUACAAUGUGAGCCCUGUAUUCAUAGCAGCAGCUAAGAGACAUGCUGGUUACAGUUUGCUCAGUAAAUCUGAAUGUUUUAUGUUUGAACUCAAUUGUUUCACAAUUGUUGUCUUUACAUUAGAUCUUUUAAAAGCUGAAAGAGUUUAAAGCCAAGUGCCACAUUGUGGGUUUCUUUUUCUUUUUGUUUUUUUAAGUAUUCUCUAUAUAGUAAUGUAUAUACUGCAACAAUCUAAGGGAACAAACGAUUAUUGAAAGACAUAGAGAAAACAAAAUUCCUGUGUAUGGUUAUAUUCUUAAUAAAUAUUGUAAAAACACAUACUUUUAAAACCCUGCAGUGACAGCAAAGUGCAGGAAGAAUGCAAAAUUAGGAAGAACGUUGAAUAAUUCAGUAGCUUGUUAUGUGAUUAGAUCUGAUUGGCCCACACUAAGAUGCUGCCUAUGAAAAUGAUUUCCCAAGGUAGCAUUGGUCUAGAGGUGGGGGGUUUAUGAUGUCCAUAAAAUGGGAGAACAAGGCUUACUGGAACUAAUAAUGCCAUGGCUGCACAGAAUGAUUGAUGAGCUUUAAAAAGCCCCGGAUUGGUUUCAUCUUUCUUCAGAUUUUAUCACUCACUCUUUCUUAGUCACAUGCAAUCACUAAGGCCAAGAGAGGUAACAAGUGUUUGAUGUAUGAUACUUGAGCCACUUUUGUCAGAACUGCAUUUAUUUUAAACUGCUCUUGUAUUUGAUACUCCCAACAUGUAGAUGUUCUUUAUUUUUUCUGCAGCUGAUGAGAACAGACACUCCUGGGGUUGGGUCAAGAGGUAAGCCAAGCUCGUGUUAGAGCAACAGUGCCAAAAUCACAAUAAAAAUUAAACAGAUCUUCCUUCUCGCACUGGGAUCAUUUCCAUUACUGAUUAAAUGGAUAAAGAGUCUUGCAGGCCUGACAUCUUCUUGGAAGAAUCUCAUAUCCUUUAUUAUUUGCACACCUUUCAGAAUACUACUUACGCUUCUUGGAAUACAUUAUCCAUUUCAAUUCCCUCUAUCCUUCACUCUCUGCAGAGAGCCACAAAAGCUCCUUUUAUGCCAGAAGAAAUUUCAGAUGAAUCAGGAAAAAAGUACUUAAUUGAACCAUUUGGGGAAAAAAAGGGUCAUUUCUACUUGUUUUUGAAAGCUUAUGCAUCUCAAAUAUGACAAAUCAAGCCAGAUAUCUUAAUCAUUUGUUGGAAACAUCCUUGUCAGAAACUUAUUCAUAAAGAUUGCAGAUGUGUGAGCUGAAAAGUGUUUGGCAGGGUCCCAGAAGAAAAAAAAAGAGUAUUAACUGGUUGAUUAAAUAGAAAUGUAUUGGAGUCCCACUCAUUUGGAGAACUUUCCAUUAUCCCAUUUGUUCUAGUUGGAAGAAUAAUAGAUAAAUCAGCAGGAUGUCAGGUUUCUGAUGUCCGUCACUGCUACACAUAGAUAUGUUUAUUUGUAUAGGUAUGAUUACAAGACCGUAUGCAUACCUGCACCACACCUGUAUGCUUGUGCAUGGCUAUGCAUAUGGACACGCAGGUCCUCUCACCUGUGAUGACUUUGUCUCCUGUAGAGUUAAAUGGUUUUCUGUUUCAGCAAUUUAAACACCAUUUAAACACUGUUUAACAAAAUCAAGAGCAGUUCUUGGCAAUUAAUUUCUGCAGUCAAUAGUAUUCUCAAACCGGGCAACUCCCCUUGGAGUGGGGAACCAUAACAGCAAAGUCUGUGCAAGUGAAAGAGCAAGACAAUUCAUUAGGCAACUCUGCAGCAGCUAAAAGUGGCGGGGGAUGUCAGCCCAUGCUCCUGUGCUUCAAUACUAAUGAGAGUCAUUGCAUAUUCAUAAUCCUAAAUACAGUCAGCUUCUGAUAAAACUUUUGUCAUCGAAGCUUCACAGCAAGAGCAAAGCAUUGCACUCCUCAUGUCCUGACACUUCCACCAAGCCAACACAAGAGCAGGUUUGAUUAUUUUGCAACUCAGCCUGACAGGGAACUAAGAGAUACUGCCCCAAGGGUCCCGAAACUAAACUUAGUUUGCUUACAAAUCUCCAAGUAAUCAAAGAAACGAAAGAGAGGGAGGAAAAUGGGAGGAAAAAGGUUUUGUCUUGUUAGUGAGUUUUGGGCUUGGGCUUUUUUGUUAUUUUUUAAAGAUAAAGGAGGCUCUAAAGAUGUAGCUUUUGUUAUUGAGUGUUGAGAGUAAUUAUCUGUUAGGCAUUUAGUACAGUUCAUAUCAAUUUUUAUCACGGAGGAAGAAGAACGGCAGGUGCUAGCAAACUUGUUCCCAUGUUGUAGGAACACUGCUGCAUGUCUUAAUAGAUACAAAUCUCUAAAACAGUAUGAAGUUUCACGUCAAUAUGAAUAGCAAAGAUUAGUGAACUCAACCUGUCAGACAUUAAAAUCAGCUCUGCAAGUGUUGUGCUACCCAGAAUUCACUUCUUGCAGGUUCCUUUUCAUUUCUGUUGUCAGCUCCUUCUUCUUCUCACUGUUGUUGCUAUUUUUAUUAUUAGUUUUGAGAAAGUACCCAUCUCCUUCACUGGCAGUAAAAAUCCUGAAUAUGCACAGCUCUGCUGGCCUUUGACCCUGAAAUACCUCUCUUACCUUCUAUUUCCCAGUCAGCUGUGUGGACAUGUCCAGAGUAACACAGUAGAGGUGAUUAUCAAUCCGAACUAUCUGCUAGGAAUAUUUUAAUUCAGCUUCGUGCUGGGG